UACGUAGGGGGCAAGCGUUGUCCGGAUUUACUGGGCGUAAAGAGCGUGUAGGCGGCCACGCAGGUCCGUUGUGAAACUGGAGGCUUAACCUCCAGACGUCGACGGAAACCGCGUGGCUAGAGUCCGGAAGAGGAGAGUGAAAUUCCUGGUGUAGCGGUGAAAUGCGCAGAUAUCAGGAAGAACACCAAUGGCGAAGGCAGCUCUCUGGGACGGUACUGACGCUGAGACGCGAAAGCGUGGGAGCGAACAGG
rnacentral:rRNA from 1 species